ACUCAAAUGAAUAGACGGGGACCCGCACAAGCGGUGGAGCAUGUGGUUUAAUUCGACGGUAAACGAAGAACCUUACCAGGGCUUGACAUACUAGAUGUAGUCAGCAGAAACGUUGACGAUCCUUUAAUGGGAAUCUAGAACAGGUGCUGCAUGGUUGUCGUCAGCUCGUGUCGUGAGAUGUACGGUUAAGUCCGGAAACGAGCGCAACCCUCGUGCUGUGUUGUUUUUUCACAGCAGACUGCCUACGUUAAGUGGGAGGAAGGCGGGGAUGACGUCAAAUCAGCAUGGCUCUUACGUCCUGGGCCACACACGUGCUACAAUGGCCGGCACAAUGGGCUGCCAAGUCGCAAGACGGAGCUAAUCCCAUCAAAACCGGCCCCAGUUCAGAUUGAGGUCUGCAACUCGACCUCAUGAAGUAGGAAUCGCUAGUAACCGCGAAUCAGCUACGUCGCGGUGAAUACGUUCUCGGGUCUUGUACACACCGCCCGU
rnacentral:rRNA from 1 species